rnacentral:rRNA from 1 species
CCCGGCACAAGCGGUGGAGCAUGUGGUUUAAUUCGACGCAACGCGCAGAACCUUUACCUGGGCUUUGACAUCCUCGGAACUUGUCAGAGAUGACUUGGUGCCUUCGGGAACCGAGAGACAGGUGCUGCAUGGCUGUCGUCAGCUCGUGUCGUGAGAUGUUGGGUUAAGUCCCGUAACGAGCGCAACCCUUGUCCAUAGUUGCCAGCACGUAAAGGUGGGAACUCUAUGGAGACUGCCGGUGACAAACCGGAGGAAGGUGGGGAUGACGUCAAAUCAUCAUGCCCCUUAUGUCUUGGGCUUCACGCAUGCUACAAUGGCCAGUACAAAGGGCUGCGAGACCGUGAGGUGGAGCGAAUCCCAAAAAGCUGGUCUCAGUUCGGAUUGGGGUCUGCAACUCGACCCCAUGAAGUCGGAGUCGCUAGUAAUCGCAGAUCAGCAACGCUGCGGUGAAUACGUUCCCGGGGCUU